GACGAACGCUGGCGGCGUGCUUAACACAUGCAAGUCGAACGGAAAGGCCCUGCUUUUGUGGGGUGCUCGAGUGGCGAACGGGUGAGUAACACGUGAGUAACCUGCCCUUGACUUUGGGAUAACUUCAGGAAACUGGGGCUAAUACCGGAUAGGAGCUCCUGCUGCAUGGUGGGGGUUGGAAAGUUUCGGCGGUUGGGGAUGGACUCGCGGCUUAUCAGCUUGUUGGUGGGGUAGUGGCUUACCAAGGCUUUGACGGGUAGCCGGCCUGAGAGGGUGACCGGCCACGUUGGGACUGAGAUACGGCCCAGACUCCUACGGUAGGCAGCAGUGGGGAAUAUUGCACAAUGGGCGGAAGCCUGAUGCAGCAACGCCGCGUGCGGGAUGACGGCCUUCGGGUUGUAUACCGCUUUCGCCUGUGACGAAGCGUGAGUGACGGUAAUGGGUAAAGAAGCACCGGCUAACUACGUG
rnacentral:rRNA from 1 species